rnacentral:rRNA from 1 species
AUUGAACGCUGGCGGCAUGCUUUACACAUGCAAGUCGAACGGUAACAGGCCGCAAGGUGCUGACGAGUGGCGAACGGGUGAGUAAUGCAUCGGAACGUGCCCAGUCGUGGGGGAUAACGCAGCGAAAGCUGCGCUAAUACCGCAUACGAUCUAUGGAUGAAAGCGGGGGACCGUAAGGCCUCGCGCGAUUGGAGCGGCCGAUGUCAGAUUAGGUAGUUGGUGGGGUAAAGGCUCACCAAGCCAACGAUCUGUAGCUGGUCUGAGAGGACGACCAGCCACACUGGGACUGAGACACGGCCCAGAGUCCUAUGGGAGGCAGCAGUGGGGAAUUUUGGACAAUGGGCGCAAGCCUGAUCCAGCAAUGCCGCGUGCAGGAAGAAGGCCUUCGGGUUGUAAACUGCUUUUGUACGGAACGAAACGGCUCUCUCUAAUACAGGGGGCUAAUGACGGUACCGUAAGAAUAAGCACCGGCUAACUACGUGCCAGCAGCCGCAGUAACAC